rnacentral:rRNA from 1 species
GACGAACGCUGGCGGCGUGCUUAACACAUGCAAGUCGAACGAGACCUUCGGGUCUAGUGGCGCACGGGUGCGUAACGCGUGGGAAUCUGCCCUUAGGUACGGAAUAACUCAGGGAAACUUGAGCUAAUACCGUAUAAUGACUUCGGUCCAAAGAUUUAUCGCCUAAGGAUGAGCCCGCGUAGGAUUAGCUUGUUGGUGAGGUAAAAGCUCACCAAGGCGACGAUCCUUAGCUGGUCUGAGAGGAUGAUCAGCCACACUGGGACUGAGACACGGCCCAGACUCCUACGGGAGGCAGCAGUGGGGAAGUAUUGGUACGAAUGGGCGAAAGACCUGAUCCAACAAUAGCCGCGUGAGUGAUGAAGGCC